GCGCCGUUGGUUCAAGGGUUAGAAUCCUCGUUUCCCAACAUGCCUGAUGGAGAAAGCGGGGGAUCCGAGUUCGAGUCUCGGGCGGCGCA